UCCAGCCACCGCGGUCAUACGAGUAACCCUAAUUAAUAAACUUCGGCGUAAAGAGUGUUAAAAAUAAAGCUAAAAUAAGAUUAAAUCCUGUCUAGGCCGUAAAAAACAAUAGACAGAAGUAAACCCAUAAACGAAAGUAAUCUUAAUAAAUAUGAGUACACUAAAGCUAAGACUCAAACUGGGAUUAGAUACCCCACUAUGCUUAGCCAUAAACAAAAAUAUUUAACAACAAAAAUACUCGCCAGAGAACUACUAGCAAUAGCUUAAAACUCAAAGGACUUGGCGGUGCUUUAAACCCACCUAGAGGAGCCUGUUCUGUAAUCGAUAAACCCCGAUAGACCUCACCACUUCUCGCUAAUUCAGCUUAUAUACCGCCAUCUUCAGCAAACCCUAAUAAGGAAUAAAAGUAAGCACAACUACCCCCAUAAAAACGUUAGGUCAAGGUGUAGCUAAUGAAGUGGGAAGAAAUGGGCUACAUUUUCUCUAAGAGAAAACUUAACGGCAAUCUAUAUGAAAUCUAGAGAUACAAGGAGGAUUUAGUAGUAAAUUAAGAAUAGAGAGCUUAAUUGAAUUAGGCCAUAAAGCACGCACACACCGCCCGUCACCCUCCUCAAA
rnacentral:rRNA from 1 species